UCCCCUGCCCCUUAGGUCCUAAAAUAGUCCCGGAUUGCAAAGCGCAGGAAGCCAGAGGCAGGAGGAAGCCUCCCCUGGAGCAGGCGGGCCCCUGCAGAUCCCUGAGGACGUGCAGACGUUUCUCUACAGCCUUCAGCCCUUUCUGGACCCUUCGCUUCCUGCGACACCCCACACCCGCCACCCGGCAUUGUCCGCGGCGCGGGAGAGGCUGUGCGGACGUUCCGGCUGUCACAGGGCUUACAUUUCAGCGGGAGAAACAAGCGAUAAACCGGCACACAAGUGAAGUGGGUUCGCCCGGAACACCUGUCUCAGAUCUGCAGUCUGGACCAAAGGAGGCAGAAUGUGGCCACUGCUGGAGGCCAUCACGG
rnacentral:lncRNA from 1 species